UACGGAGGGAGCUAGCGCUGUUCGGAAUUACUGGGCGUAAAGCGCACGUAGGCGGAUAUUUAAGUCAGGGGUGAAAUCCCGCAGCUCAACUGCGGAACUGCCUUUGAUACUGGGUAUCUUGAGUAUGGAAGAGGUAAGUGGAAUUCCGAGUGUAGAGGUGAAAUUCGUAGAUAUUCGGAGGAACACCAGUGGCGAAGGCGGCUUACUGGUCCAUUACUGACGCUGAGGUGCGAAAGCGUGGGGAGCAAACAGG
rnacentral:rRNA from 1 species